rnacentral:rRNA from 1 species
GUGACUCUUCGGAGUUUGCAUUGUUAAAUAUGCUAGUCCUUUCAUGAUUAUGUGAUAGGUGGUGCAUGGCCGUUCUUAGUUCGUGGAGUGAUCUGUCUGCUUAAUUGCGUUUCAAAUUACUUAUAAGGUAGCAAUACGCGAUGAAGCUUUCAAUAGUCCUCACGGAUUCACUUGAGUCUCUCGCUUCGCUAUCCUUUCGAAUGCAACGAACGUGACCGCAACCUCUUGUUGCCUUCGUUUAACAUCCUGCAGCUCGCUGUGGGUACUGAGGGCUUCACUCGGUGACUUUGGGCUGAGCAAUCGGUCUCUUUUGAUCUGAGUAAACUAGAGGGACCGCUGUCAACUUCUUAAACCAGAGGAAGGUUGCGGCAAUAACAGGUCUGUGAUGCCCUUAGAUGUUCCGGGCUGCACACGUGCUACAAUGAUCGUAGCAGUGAGCAUCUUAUUUGAUUUACUUAACACCGCAUACGUGAGUACCAACUAGCUUAGCAAUAAGUCAAGUAGUUCUCUACGCAGCGGUAACAGCCUGCUUCGAGAGCAAGUGGGUAAUCAAUUAAAGUAACGAUUUCUU